GUCUUGUUUUAAUAGUUGUUUCAUAUACGCAAAGGCCGUCGGGUUUUAAUAAAGCAAUUAUAAAAUCAAUAUUUAAAACAAACUUACCUUCGUUAACGUCGGCUCCCUUCUUUUAGCCGAUUCUUUCGUUCUUUCUUUUCUUUCUUUCUUUCUUUCUUUCUUUCUUUCUUUCUUUCUUUCUUUCUUUCUUUCUUUCUUUCUUUCUUUCUUUCUUUCUUUCUUUCUUUCUUUCUUUCUUUCUUUCUGAGAAA
rnacentral:lncRNA from 1 species